GCCCCAUCUAUGCUUAUUUGCAAGCAGAGACAUAAGUCCAGGCGAAGAAAUAGACUAUAAUUAUGGUGACUCGGAUUGGCUCUGGAGAUGCAAGACUGAGACCAGCCAGAUUCAGAAGACUGUGAGCUGCCUAAAGCCGCAACCAAACAGCUUUCCAAACAAUGAUCUGGACCUGAAACAUCCAGAGCCUGAAAGGUGUCACAAUCAUCGUCUGGUGUGCACAACAAUAUCAUCUUUGGACAAGUGCAUUCAGUGUGUGGGACUGGUUUCCUCCCUCAAGUGGCUUGGCUAUAAGUGCAAAGAUGAAAUUGCAUUAAGUGAUGCUGAAACAAAGGACAGUGAGAGUGAAUCAGAUGAUGAUGACACAUCACUCACAAUGUCGGCGUGUGGCACCAGUGAGCCUGUACAUGCAGUAGCUGAUUCCACAAACACAGCGCAGCCCCAAGACACUGUAGAUUGUGCAGAUGAAGGACUACUCACAAUGCCUGCAGCAAGUGAGACUGCUGCUCCCUCUGAAGGUAAGGGGUGCAGUUGGUUCUCGAAGCUUAUUAUUGUUUCAUCACUUUGCAACAUAUGGCAAACUGCAGAGUGGUGGCAAAAAGUCACUUGGAUGAGUGACAAAAUGUUUCUCCCACUGAAAACGCUACGUCCAGAUUAACAGAAUCAACGUUUUGGGAUUUACUUACCUGGAUGAUUGAGCAUGCAUCAAGAGACUUUUAUUCAACUUUUUAUUCAGUCUUUUAUUCACAGCGGAACACUAAAUGUUGUCUCAUUUUAGAAAUUUGAUAAAUUUUCAAACAGAAUUUUAGCUCGUUUUGAU
ensembl:lncRNA